UAUAAAAUAUUUUUCUCUCUCUUAGUGCUGAUAUGGUGAUGUGACAUUUGUUCUGUUUGUGUCUUCAUGUGUAGUGGACACCCUAGAUCAUUAUGAUGAUGUCAUCAUUAUUGGACAGAACUUUCAAGGUGUAACGAAGGGAUAUCAGGAGGAGUAUGAUGAUGUGAAGAACAGCAAUGAAGUUUAGAGAAACUUGUUAGACUAUGAUGAUGUGGGAGAGGAGUCACACAAAGAAGGAGGGGCUAUAUGACUCAAUGGCCACACCCUCUGCCUCUGUUCAUGAAAUCAUAUUACAGUUACUGGAGAUGCUGGGAGCUUCUCAUAUUGCUACUAAUGCAUCAGUGCCUUAUGUUUUUAUGUUAUUUUUCAAUAUUUUUGUAUGAAAAUGUCAAUAUUUGUAUUUUAGCAUUUGGUCUUUUAUUACUAUUUUUAUAUGCUUUUCACCUAAACAAAAGAUAUCAUUCCAACGUCACAAAAAUACUUGUGGUUAGAGAAAAGAAGAAAGU